rnacentral:rRNA from 1 species
GAUGAACGCUGGCGGCGUGCCUAAUACAUGCAAGUCGAGCGAACAGAUGAGGAGCUUGCUCCUCUGACGUUAGCGGCGGACGGGUGAGUAACACGUGGAUAACCUACCUAUAAGACUGGGAUAACUUCGGGAAACCGGAGCUAAUACCGGAUAAUAUAUUGAACCGCAUGGUUCAAUAGUGAAAGACGGUUUUGCUGUCACUUAUAGAUGGAUCCGCGCCGCAUUAGCUAGUUGGUAAGGUAACGGCUUACCAAGGCAACGAUGCGUAGCCGACCUGAGAGGGUGAUCGGCCACACUGGAACUGAGACACGGUCCCGACUCCUACGGGAGGCAGCAGUAGGGAAUCUUCCGCAAAGGGCGAAAGCCUGACGGAGCAACGCCGCGUGAGUGAUGAAGGUCUUCGGAUCGUAAAACUCUGUUAUUAGGGAAGAACAAAUGUGUAAGUAACUAUGCACGUCUUGACGGUACCUAAUCAGAAAGCCACGGCUAACUACGUG